CAAUAUUUGACAAAUAAACAAAUGAAGUAUAAAUUAUUAAUAAAUUGAUUGAAUACAAUGCAAAUAUUAAUUUAUCGUUAUUUUAUAUGAAAUUAUAGUACAUUAUUUAAUAUUUAAGAUUAUUAAGGCAUGAAUUACAUCAUAUUUCUGCUAAACCAUUCGACUUUGGAUAAUGUGGACUUGAGGUGAUAUGUUCCACAUCCCAUUCUUUAAGAAAUUGUUUGAAAUUAUAUGAAUUGAAUGGUGGUCCACCAUCACUCAAUAAUGACAUUGGAAUACCGUGACGGGCAAAAAUUGAUUUUAAUUGAAAUACGACUUUAUCACUCCUUGUAUCAUUGUUUAAAUAUGCAAUUUCUAUAUAAUUUGAAUAAAAAUCUACUACUAUUAA